rnacentral:pre_miRNA from 1 species
CAUAUACUCCCUCCGUUCGGAAUUACUUGUCACAGAAAUGGAUGUAUCUAGAUGUAUUUUAGUUCUAGAUACAUCCAUUUCCGAGACAAGUAAUUCCGAACGGAGGGAGUACAUG